AUUGAACGCUGGCGGCAGGCCUAACACAUGCAAGUCGAGCGAACCGCGGACGGGUGGGUAAUGUAUGGGGAUGUGCCUGACCGAGGGAGAUAACUACUGGAAACGUUGGCUAAUACCGCAUACUAUCGGAUGAGCCGCUGUGGGAUUAGCUAGUAGGUGGGGUAAAGGCUCACCUAGGCGACGAUCUCUAGCUGGUCUGAGAGGAUGAUCAGCCACACUGGGACUGAGACACGGCCCAGACUCCUACGGGAGGCAGCAGUGGGGAAGAUUGCACAAUGGGCGAAAGCCUGAUGCAGCCAUGCCGCGUGUAUGAAGAAGGCCUUAGGGUUGUAAAGUACUUUCAGCGGGGAGGCGUUACCCGCAGAAGAAGCACCGGCUAACUCCGUGCCAGCCGCCGCGGUAAUUC
rnacentral:rRNA from 1 species